GACGAACGCUGGCGGCGUGCUUAACACAUGCUUUUCGAACGGAAAGGCCCUGCUUUUGUGGGGUGCUCGAGUGGCGAACGGGUGAGUAACACGUGAGUAACCUGCCCUUGACUUUGGGAUAACUUCAGGAAACUGGGGCUAAUACCGGAUAGGAGCUCCUGCUGCAUGGUGGGGGUUGGAAAGUUUCGGCGGUUGGGGAUGGACUCGCGGCUUAUCAGCUUGUUGGUGGGGUAGUGGCUUACCAAGGCUUUGACGGGUAGCCGGCCUGAGAGGGUGACCGGCCACAUUGGGACUGAGAUACGGCCCAGACUCCUACGGGAGGCAGCAGUGGGGAAUAUUGCACAAUGGGCGGAAGCCUGAUGCAGCAACGCCGCGUGCGGGAUGACGGCCUUCGGGUUGUAAACCGCUUUCGCCUGUGACGAAGCGUGAGUGACGGUAAUGGGUAAAGAAGCACCGGCUAACUACGUGCCAGCAGCCGCGGUGAUACGUAGGGUGCGAGCGUUGUCCGGAUUUAUUGGGCGCAAAGGGCUCGUAGGUGGUUGAUCGCGUCGGAAGUGUAAUCUUGGGGCUUAACCCUGAGCGUGCUUUCGAUACGGGUUGACUUGAGGAAGGUAGGGGAGAAUGGAAUUCCUGGUGGAGCGGUGGAAUGCGCAGAUAUCAGGAGGAACACCAGUGGCGAAGGCGGUUCUCUGGGCCUUUCCUGACGCUGAGGAGCGAAAGCGUGGGGAGCGAACAGGCUUAGACACCCUGGUAGUCCACGCUGUAAACGGUGGGUACUAGGUGUGGGGUCCAUUCCACGGGUUCCGUGCCGUAGCUAACGCUUUAAGUACCCCGCCUGGGGAGUACGGCCGCAAGGCUAAAAUUCAAAGGAAUUGACGGGGCCCCGCACAAGCGGCGGAGCAUGCGGAUUAAUUCGAUGCAACGCGUAGAACCUUACCUGGGUUUGACAUGGAUCGGGAGUGCUCAGAGAUGGGUGUGCCUCUUUUGGGGUCGGUUCACAGGUGGUGCAUGCCUGUCGUCAGCUCGUGUCGUGAGAUGUUGGGUUAAGUCCCGCAACGAGCGCAACCCUUGUUCACUGUUGCCAGCACGUUAUGGUGGGGACUCAGUGGAGACCGCCGGGGUCAACUCGGAGGAAGGUGGGGAUGACGUCAAGUCACCAUGCCCCUUAUGUCCAGGGCUUCACGCAUGCUACAAUGGCUGGUACAGAGAGUGGCGAGCCUGUGAGGGUGAGCGAAUCUCGGAAAGCCGGUCUCAGUUCGGAUUGGGGUCUGCAACUCGACCUCAUGAAGUCGGAGUCGCUAGUAAUCGCAGAUCAGCAACGCUGCGGUGAAUACGUUCCCGGGGCU
rnacentral:rRNA from 1 species